UACGAAGGGGGCUAGCGUUGCUCGGAAUCACUGGGCGUAAAGGGUGCGUAGGCGGGUCUUUAAGUCAGGGGGGAAAUCCUGGAGCUCAACUCCAGAACUGCCUUUGAUACUGAAGAUCUUGAGUUCGGGAGAGGUGAGUGGAACUGCGAGUGUAGUGGUGAAAUUCGUAGAUAUUCGCAAGAACACCAGUGGCGAAGGCGGCUCACUGGCCCGUAACUGACGCUGAGGCACGAAAGCGUGGGGAGCAAACAGG
rnacentral:rRNA from 1 species